rnacentral:misc_RNA from 1 species
GAUGAAGAACGUAGCGAAAUGCGAUAAGUAGUGUGAAUUGCAGAAUUCAGUGAAUCAUCGAAUCUUUGAACGCACAUUGCGCCCUUUGGUAUUCCUUAGGGCAUGCCUGUUCGAGCGUCAUUUAAACCUUCAAGCUCAGCUUGGUGUUGGGUGACUGUCCGCUUCACCGCGGACUCGCCUCAAAAUUAUUGGCGGCCGGUACAUUGGCUUCGAGCGCAGCAGAAACGCGAACUCGGGCCCGUCGUAUUUGCUCCCAGUAGCUAUCUUCACAAUUUUGACCUAGGAUCAGGUAGGGAUACCCGCUGAACUUAAGCAUAUCAAUAAGCGGAGGA